rnacentral:rRNA from 1 species
AACGAACGCUGGCGGCGUGCUUAACACAUGCAAGUCGAACGCGAACGAGUUCUUCGGAACUUUAGUAGAGUGGCGCACGGGUGAGUAACGCGUAAGUAAUCUACCCUCGCAUUUGGGAUAACCCACCGAAAGGUGUGCUAAUACCGGAUACGUUGGAUUUAUCCAAGAAAGGUGGCCUCUUCAUGAAAGCUACUGUGCUGGGAGGAGCUUGCGUACCAUUAGCUAGUUGGUAGGGUAAUGGCCUACCAAGGCGACGAUGGUUAGCGGGUCUGAGAGGAUGAUCCGCCGCACUGGAACUGGAACACGGACCAGACUCCUACGGGAGGCAGCAGUGAGGAAUAUUGCGCAAUGGGGGCAACCCUGACGCAGCGACGCCGCGUGGAUGAUGAAGGCCUUCGGGUCGUAAAAUCCUGUCAGAUGGAAAGAAAUGUAUAGUGGUUAAUACCCAUUAUAUUUGACGGUACCAUC